AAACGAGUGUGAGUUAAAGGUUACUGAUAUUUCUCAAGACCCACUUGAGUUGCUGGAGUCAUCACUUACCGGUAAACAAAGAACUCAGAAGUGGAGGAGGAAUUGAAGAUUGUUUUUUCAAGUAGAGGAAAAGAGAAAAAGGAAGAAAGAGAAAAGAAAAAUGCUUUUAUUGCUCUGCCCUUGAAUGGAAAAUGAUCACCAGUGAGUUUGACACACAUCAAAAAAUAAAAGGGGACACAAGCCCUCAAGUAUGCUCAAACCAGUGGAAUACGGGGUUUCCUCCUAUGGUCACAAAAGUUGGCUACAACUUCUUCUGUUAAUUGUAAUGAUAGAAGUUUCUAGACUGAAUUGGUUUCGUCAUUUCAAGAGGAUGUUGCCAAAACAAAUUUGCAGGUCACUUUCUCUCAAUUUUCAGCUAUUUGGGUUUAAAGCUGUCAGACAUUUCAAAUACAUGUAUUAUCUUUACAUGUUUCAACACAUGAUUGUUUCCAAACCUAUUUUUAGAAAAUAAAUAUUAAUGUAUCCCAGUGCAAAUAGAUAGAUGCCUUACAUGUCAAGUAUAGCAAUAAAUAUUUAAAAAGCAACUAUAUGGUUCUGGUAUUAAAGUCAGUUCAUGAAUUGACUAUAUUAUAGCUAUUGCCAUAAAAAUUUAAUUUGCUGCUAAAACAUGCAUGGCUAACUUCUUAAAUUAAAUAUUUUCUUAAAAUUAAAGUUGAUGUGGUAGGUAGAGUUUUUUAAAUGGCCCUAGAAAGAUGACCUAUCUAGGGUGACGUAUCUGAUAUGAGGACAUAUCACUCCAUAACUAUGUUAUGUAUUAUGGCACGGUUGCCCUUAAGAUAGGGAGAUUAUUUGAGAUUGCCUAAGUGGACCCAAUAUAAUUACAUAUGCCCUGUAAAGCAGAGAACUUUGACUGGCAGCAAAAGGAAAAGCCAGAGGGGUUUGAAGCUUGAGAAAGCCCCCAUGCAUUGUUGUGGAUUUGAAGAUGGAGGGGCUACAUGUGUAGGAGUGAGGGUGGCCUUAAGGAGAUAGGCAUACCCCCAAGUGAGAGCCAACAAAGAAAGAGAGGCCUCAGUCCCACAACUGCAGGGACCCGAAUUCAGCCAACACCUGAAUGGGCAUGGAAGGCUAUUCUUCCCAGAGCCUCCAGGUAAGAGCCCAGCCUGGCUGACACCUUGAUUUCAGCCUUGCGAUACACUUAGUAUGGAACUCAUGGGAGCCUGCCCGCACUUCUCACCUAUAAACUGUGAGCUAAGAAAGGAGUGUUGUUUAAGCCACAUGGCUUCGGAUACAUUUAUGCAGAAAAGCUAAUACAGUUGGCAGCUGGAACGUGUGUUCUGUGGAUGGCUGGCAAAGCCAUAGUUGAUGAAUGGCGAAGUUCAACAGUCUUUUGAGUGGCGGCAAGGGUGGAACCAAUUUAUGUGGUAAAGUGUCAAGUCAGUGAGCGGACUAAGUCAAUGAAUUCCUGCAGCACUCACUAGACAGUAAUUCUCUGUGUCAUAUUUAAGUGAAACAAGAUUUGUAUAGUAUGAAUCUUGCAUUGUAAAGUUUACCAUCUGCAAAGCAUAAUACAAUAAUGGAAUUUAAAAGAGUCUACAUUUAUUCUUGUUCUACCACUUUGCAAAUUACUGAUUCUUGCCGAAAAACCUCUAAAAUUUUCUUAACCUCACUUUUAUCGGAUAAGGAAAUAUAUCUACAGGAACGGUUGCUGCAAGUACUGGAAUAUUCCAACCUUCACAAUCAAGUAGAUUGCAUAGUGGUUAGAAACAGUAUUUUAAUACAUGCAAAGACCUCAGAGAUAUAAGUAAAACUUUAACAAAAAAUUUACCUUGUCUAUUUAAGAAAUGCGUUUGGGCUCAGGGACAUGGCCACAGUAACAAUAUGGAUACCCUCUGUAUUCCAGGAGUAACGAAUAAUUUGAAAUUAAAGAUUAUUAUACAUGUGAAAGUGCUUUGAAAACUAAAUAGCCGAAACAUAUACAUUGCUGUUUUUAUUUCUAUUACUGUUGUCAUAACUUAAAGUGUCUUAAACUGACUUUGUAAGGUAGCACCCCAACUUCCAGCAAAGUCAGCCCCCUAAGUUUUCCUGGAGUGACAUGGGUUCCAUGUGAUGAAUAUAUUGUUAUUUCACUUCUGACCUCACUCAACACUUAGAGUGUACCCGC